UGAGGAAUAUUGGUCAAUGGGCGCAAGCCUGAACCAGCCAUCCCGCGUGAAGGAAGAAGGCGCUAUGCGUCGUAAACUUCUUUUCCGGAGGAAUAAAAUUUCGUACGUGUACGGGACUGAAGGUACUCUGGGAAUAAGCAUCGGCUAACUCCGUGCCAGCAGCCGCGGUAAUACAGAGGUCCCAAGCGUUGUUCGGAUUCACUGGGCGUAAAGGGUGCGUAGGUGGCAAGGUAAGUCGGAUGUGAAAUCUCCGAGCUCAACUCGGAAAUGGCAUUGGAAACGGCUUUGCUCGAGGGUUGGAGGGGGGACUGGAAUACUUGGUGUAGCAGUGAAAUGCGUAGAUAUCAAGUGGAACACCAGUGGCGAAGGCGAGUCCCUGGACAACUCCUGACACUGAGGCACGAAAGCUAGGGGAGCAAACA
rnacentral:rRNA from 1 species